CCUACGGGUGGCAGCAGUGAGGAAUAUUGGUCAAUGGCCGGAAGGCUGAACCAGCCAUGCCGCGUGAAGGUCAGUGCCCUAUGGGCGUUAAACUUCUUUUGUGCGGGAGCAAUAUUGGUCACGUGUGGCCAGACGAGAGUACCGUACGAAUACGCACAGGCUAACUCCGUGCCAGCAGCCGAGGUAUAUCGGGGGGUGCAAGCGUUAUCCGGGUUUAGUGGGGUUAAAGGGUGCGUAGGUGGUGAGGUUAGUCAGCGGGGAAAUGCUCCGGUUCAACGGGGUGGAGUGCCGUUGAUACUGCCUUGCUGGAGUGCGGGAGCGGUAGGAGGAAUGUGUGGUGUAGCGGUGAAAUGCGUAGAUAUCA
rnacentral:rRNA from 1 species